rnacentral:rRNA from 1 species
UACGGAGGGUGCGAGCGUUGUCCGGAAUUACUGGGCGUAAAGGGCGCGUAGGCGGAUAGUUUAGUCAGAGGUGAAAGCCCAGGGCUCAACCUUGGAAUUGCCUUUGAUACUGGCUGUCUUGAGUACGGGAGAGGUGAGUGGAACUCCGAGUGUAGAGGUGAAAUUCGUAGAUAUUCGGAAGAACACCAGUGGCGAAGGCGACUCACUGGCCCGUUACUGACGCUGAGGCGCGAAAGCGUGGGGAGCAAACAGG